UACGUAGGGUGCGAGCGUUGUCCGGAAUUAUUGGGCGUAAAGGGCUCGUAGGCGGUUUGUCACGUCAGGAGUGAAAACUCGGGGCUCAACCCCGAGCCUGCUUCUGAUACGGGCAGACUGGAGGUAUGCAGGGGAGAACGGAAUUCCUGGUGUAGCGGUGAAAUGCGCAGAUAUCAGGAGGAACACCGGUGGCGAAGGCGGUUCUCUGGGCAGUACCUGACGCUGAGGAGCGAAAGUGUGGGGAGCGAACAGG
rnacentral:rRNA from 1 species